rnacentral:rRNA from 1 species
AUCAGUGGCCAUAGCAAAGGGGAUCACCUGAUACCAUUCCGAACUCAGUAGUUAAGCCCUUUAGCGCCGAAGAUACCAGAGAUNAUUAGGUGCUUUUUGCU